AUUGAACGCUGGCGGCAGGCCUAACACAUGCAAGUCGAACGAGAGGCGGACGGGUGGGUAAUGUAUGGGAAACUGCCUGAUGGAGGGGGAUAACUGCUGGAACCGGUAGCUAAUACCGCAUACCAUCGGAUGUGCCCAGAUGGGAUUAGCUAGUAGGUGGGGUAACGGCUCACCAGGGCGACGAGCCCUAGCUGGUCUGAGAGGAUGACCGGCCACACUGGAACUGAGACACGGUCCAGACUCCUACGGGAGGCAGCAGUGGGGAAUAUUGGACAAUGGGCGCAAGCCUGAUGCAGCCAUGCCGCGUGUAUGAAGAAGGCCUUCGGGUCGUAAAGCACUGUCAGCGGGGAGGCGGUACUCGAAGAAGAAGCACCGGCUAACUCCGUGCCAGCAGCCGCGGUAAUUC
rnacentral:rRNA from 1 species